GAUGAACGCUGGCGGCGUGCCUAAUACAUGCAAGUCGAGCGAACAGACGAGGAGCUUGCUCCUCUGACGUUAGCGGCGGACGGGUGAGUAACACGUGGAUAACCUACCUAUAAGACUGGGAUAACUUCGGGAAACCGGAGCUAAUACCGGAUAAUAUAUUGAACCGCAUGGUUCAAUAGUGAAAGACGGUUUUGCUGUCACUUAUAGAUGGAUCCGCGCCGCAUUAGCUAGUUGGUAAGGUAACGGCUUACCAAGGCAACGAUGCGUAGCCGACCUGAGAGGGGAGUCGCCACACGGGAAACGAGAACCGGGCCCAAGCCCCAAGGGGGGACAGCAGGAGGAAUUUUUCCGGAGGGGGGGAAGGCUGAACGGGCAAACGCCGGGGGAGUAAGAAGGUCUUUCGGAUGGUAAACCCUUUUGUUUGGGGAAAAAAAAAUUUUUAAAUAACUAUGCCGUUCUGACGGUAACCAAAAAAAAAGCCCCGGCUAAAUUCGUG
rnacentral:rRNA from 1 species